GCCGGGUGUGGUGGUGCAUACCUGUAAUCCCAGCUACUCGGGAGGCUGAAGCAGGAGAAUCACUUGAACCUGGGAGGCAGAGAUUGCAGUGAGCCAAGACUGGCCACUACACUCCAGCCUGGGUUACAGAGCGAGACUCUGUCUCAA
rnacentral:SRP_RNA from 1 species